GAGAACUUUAAUCACAGGAUAAUAUUCACAAAAAUUCAAAAAGCUGGGUGUAAUACCUAGUAGAGCCAUCCCUACAUCUCAAAGCACAGUGCUUACUGAUGACAACCUUCAUACAUAAAUCUGGUGUGCCCUGCUUGCCUCUCAUUAAGCACAUUAGACCUUCAUGGGGAAGGUUGCUGUCGUAACCAGCUUGGUUACUCAUUUUCUCUCCGUCCCCCUUAGCACAAGUAAUGAGCAUGCUGAGGCUCUGAAACGGGUAGACAAAAGAUGACAACAGUUCCUGAGAUUCAUAUGGCACAUAAAUAUUUAGCAUUUGAUUUAUGCUGUGUUGAUGCUAUUCAUCAAUUGCCUUAUUAAGACCUAGAAACUUUGAGAGAACUUUGUACAUGGGAGGAAGGAAAAUCAUCCCUCUGAUGCUAGAAAUACGGAAGAGUCAGAGGUCUAUGUGUUGUGGGAAGAGGGAACUGCUCUGUUUUGUCUGAUCACUGUGGAAACUGCUGCUCUGCUUUUGGGUUCACAGCCUGAGGGAACAGAAGGAUCUGCUCCUUUCAAUAGGCAGAUAAAGCUGUAUUAAAUCUCUCCACCUAAAACUGGGUAGAUCAGGAGUUGCACUUCAUUUUCCUCCCCCGUUCUCAAAGAGGCAACAUAGCUGUGAGGACACUGAUGUGCCAGUGAAGGCAAGGAAAAUGUGUUGAAAAAACCUGCCUUCCUGACAACAUGGAAAUUUAAAAAAAGAAUUUGCUGGGGAAGCAUUGAGUGGCUGCUGAGAAGAGAGAAAUGGAGAAACCAGGAUGGGAGCCUCCCAGGGAUGGGGAAGAAGGGUCAUGAGUGGAGCAGUGUGAAGAGGGGAAGCUCUCUCCGUGCACCAACCAAGAUUUCACCUUUGUGUGUAUGUGUCCUGUAAGUGAUAUUUGGUACACAUAGCAUUCCUCAUUCAAAUCCCUCACUGAGGCAAGUCAUUGCCAAAAAGACCGCCCCCCCCA
rnacentral:lncRNA from 1 species